rnacentral:rRNA from 1 species
UGACCGCUAGCGAUAGGCUUACCACAUGCAAGUCGAGGGGCAGCAUGGUCUUAGCUUGCUAAGGCUGAUGGCGACCGGCGCACGGGUGCGUAACGCGUAUGCAACUUGCCUCACAGAGGGGGAUAACCCGUCGAAAGACGGACUAAUACCGCGUACACUCUAUGUUGGGCAUCCAAUGUAGAGGAAAUGAAAUUCGCUGUGAGAUAGGCAUGCGUCCCAUUAGCUAGUUGGUGAGGUAACGGCUCACCAAGGCGACGAUGGGUAGGGGAACUGAGAGGUUGAACCCCCACACUGGUACUGAGACACGGACCAGACUCCUACGGGAGGCAGCAGUGAGGAAUAUUGGUCAAUGGGCGAGAGCCUGAACCAGCCAAGUCGCGUGAAGGAUGACUGUCUUAUGGAUUGUAAACUUCUUUUAUACGGGAAUAACAAGAGUCACGUGUGGCUCCCUGCAUGUACCGUAUGAAUAAGCAUCGGCUAACUCCGUG